UACGUAGGGCGCAAGCGUUGUCCGGAAUUACUGGGCGUAAAGCGCACGUAGGCGGACAUUUAAGUCAGGGGUGAAAUCCCAGAGCUCAACUCUGGAACUGCCUUUGAUACUGGGUGUCUUGAGUAUGGAAGAGGUGAGUGGAAUUCCGAGUGUAGAGGUGAAAUUCGUAGAUAUUCGGAGGAACACCAGUGGCGAAGGCGGCUCACUGGUCCAUUACUGACGCUGAGGUGCGAAAGCGUGGGGAGCAAACAGG
rnacentral:rRNA from 1 species